rnacentral:rRNA from 1 species
AUUGAACGCUGGCGGCAGGCCUAACACAUGCAAGUCGAGCGGAUGAAGGGAGCUUGCUCCUGGAUUCAGCUGCGGACGGGUGAGUAAUGCCUAGGAAUCUGCCUGGUAGUGGGGGAUAACGUCCGGAAACGGGCGCUAAUACCGCAUACGUCCUGAGGGAGAAAGUGGGGGAUCUUCGGACCUCACGCUAUCAGAUGAGCCUAGGUCGGAUUAGCUAGUUGGUGGGGUAAAGGCCUACCAAGGCGACGAUCCGUAACUGGUCUGAGAGGAUGAUCAGUCACACUGGAACUGAGACACGGUCCAGACUCCUACGGGAGGCAGCAGUGGGGAAUAUUGGACAAUGGGCGAAAGCCUGAUCCAGCAAUGCCGCGUGUGUGAAGAAGGUCUUCGGAUUGUAAAGCACUUUAAGUUGGGAGGAAGGGCAGUAAGUUAAUACCUUGCUGUUUUGACGUUACCAACAGAAUAAGCACCGGCUAACUUCGUG